CUCUCUCUCUCUCUCUCCCUCUCACUCUCUCUUUCUCUCUCCACACUUACCUUUUGUUUUCUUACAGUUCUAGAGGCUUAGAAAACUAGGACCAAGACACCAGUUUGUUACCUGCUAAGCACAUUCUUCCUCAUUUCUUGUCUUCUUGUGCCUUCUUUUGAUCUACAGGAAUAUCCUUCCCUGGUCUUUCUCACAAAGGCGUUCAAAUCAUCCUCAAGAUCAGAUCACCUUCCAAGGUCUCACUGCCAACACCAUCACCACAGACCAUGAGCUUCACCAUCCACAUUUUGAUGGAUUAUAUACAUUCAAGGGCUUGUUUGGUGGCUGGGAGGAGUCGGUGUAUGUUGAGGAUCAAGACAAGAAUGAGGUCAAUGAGAGAGCCCAAAAGUCCUCAUCUGGUUAUGAGAAAAAUGCAGUUUAUAAACUUCUCUUCUCUGAUGGAAAGAUGAGUUUUCUUUGUUUAUUUAUUGAUGAACCUGCCUAUAUUUUGGAACGAUGUAUAAAAUAUAGUUAAAAACAGAUUGAGGUAAAAUUCCUUCUCAAUUUUUCUGACUAUUAAUUUCAUAACUUCCCUGUGUCAUGGAUACCCAAAAGUAAAGUUAAUACUAUUUCUGAAUGUAUAUAUGUGAGGUUUUUUAAAAGAGAUUAGCAUUUGAAUGCGAGGGCUCAUUAAGAAAAUUACCCUUUCCCAGUGCCUCUAAGUUCCAUCCAAUCCACUGAGAAACUAUGACCUGGAUGAAACAGAAAGGCAAGGAAACGUUGAGUGUUUUUUCCUGAGCCUAAUCAUCAGGAUCCCCUGCGUAGACUGAAACUGUGACCACAGACACUUCAGACACUUCUGACCUGCUUUUCAUCGAAUAUGAAAGUCCUUUCAUCUUGAGAUUGUCUCAGCUUAUCUCAACACUAUAUAUGAACCUUCAAGUUGCAUCUCUGACCUCUAAAUCAAAUGCAGACUUCAGGAUACAACUAGUCUCAUGAGCAGCCAACUUGCUCUGAGGAUCCCUGUCUCCAUUUUCUAAGGCUCGAAAAGCAGAAAUACUUGUGAAGCUUCUGAAGGAAGGAAGGAAGCAAUUAACAGAUGUACCAAUCUGCGACAUCUAUGAACCAGAACAAUGGUGAACAUGAAAAACUAGACAUAAAGACGCAACCAAUGGCAACUGACAGGGAAGGCAUUCCAAUGAGUAGAGAGACUCUCUGAGUGUGAAACACAGGAUGAAGGCAUGCAUAUAUGAGGAUAAAAGACAGAUUCUCAUUAUGUGAGGCUUACGGAAUCUACCCAUGUAGAUCAGACUGAGCUUGAAUUCAUGGAUAGCUACCUGGUUUUGUCCACCUGCAAGAACUGGAAUUAAAGAUCU